CGAAGUAAGGUUUUCACAAAUUUUAAUAUGGGUUUUUAAAAAUUUGAUUUCUUAUUAAGGGCUUUGAAUCAGUUGGUUUUCUUGGACGCAGCGGCAGUCACGUUGCAGCAAAAAGUAUUGAAUCGUAUGAAUUGUUUGGAAGCGGUUGCGGUGGUGUUGGAGCAAAAAGUGUUAAAUCCUCUAGAGUGCUUGCAAGCGGUGGCAGUGGUGGCAGUGGUGAUGGGCCAAACGUAGAGUAUUGAAUCCUGUGAAUUGUUUGGAAGCGGUUGCAGUGGAGAUGGAUCAAAUAGUAUUGAAUCCUAUGAAUUGUUUGGAAGGGGUUGCGGUGGUGAUAGAGUAAAAAGUGUUAAAUCCCCUAGAUUUCUUGGAAGCGGUGGCAGUUGAGUUGGAGCAAAAGUAAGUGUGUUUUCUUUAUAUAUGUAUAUAUGUGCACACAUAAUUUCAUAUUAGUAACAAUGGUUUUAUUUUUACAUUUUACAGAGUGUUAAAUCCUCUAGAUGUCUUGGAAGCGGGGGCAGUGGUGUUGGAGCAAAAGUAAGUCGGUUUUCUUUAUAUAUGUACAUAUGUAUGUACAUACAUAAUUUGUUUGUUUACAUUUGACAGUGUUUGACAGUGGUGAUGGACCAAAAGUAAGUGGAUUUUCUUUAUACAUAUACUAGCUUAUA